rnacentral:misc_RNA from 1 species
GAUGAAGAACGUAGCGAAAUGCGAUAAGUAAUGUGAAUUGCAGAAUUCAGUGAAUCAUCGAGUCUUUGAACGCACAUUGCGCCCCCUGGUAUUCCGGGGGGCACGCCUGUCCGAGCGUCAUUGCCGCCCUCAAGCACGGCUUGUGUGUUGGGCCCCCGCCCCCCGGCUUCGGGGGGCGGGCCCGAAAGGCAGCGGCGGCACCGCGUCCGGUCCUCGAGCGUAUGGGGCUUCGUCACCCGCUCUGUAGGCCCGGCCGGCGCCCGCCGGCGACCCCAAUCAAUCUUUCCAGGUUGACCUCGGAUCAGGUAGGGAUACCCGCUGAACUUAAGCAUAUCAAUAAGCGGAGGA